GCUCCAGGGAGGGAAGACGCACAUGCAUCCCGUGGACAGGGAUGCAGAUGUGGCCUUUGGGCUUCAUUCUCAUUCAUGCCGGGCAGGGAUCUGUUUUCAGGAGGGGCGGAGGCAGCGGGGGCCCCACCGCCUGCAGGGUUAUUUGUCACAUUUUGAGCCGUGCUGUUCCCUCACUGGUGACAACAGUCCUGAGCCCCAUCUUGGGCUCAUGAUACCCUUUUCUUCCCAGAACAGGAGGCCUCGCAAGCCUACCCCCGCCUCUGCCCUCGGCUGCCCCGGGCUUCACAUUCUGACAUCUGACGACACCUCCCUUUCCAGGAAGGCAACAUCAAAAUAAGGAAUGAGGGCUGGGGUCGGGGGAAGGGACAAGGGGCUCAGGGGGUGGGGAAGCAAGAAGGCAGCGAUCCCCAGCCACCCUAGGAUGCUGGGAGGGGGAAGAACUUCAGCGAAAGAAGAGCUCAGACCCCUGCCUCCUUCUCCAACCCAGGUGUCCUGGGUCUGCUGGGCUGCUGUGACUGGGAAGAGACCUGCUAAGAAGGAUGUGGGUUUGAGUCCUGAUCCAGCAGUGUGGCGGUGAGGAAACCUCCUCAGGUUACCAGUGGUUCUCAACUAUGAGUGGCUCUGCCUGCCCCCACGGAGGAAGCAUCUGCACAUGCCUCAGGACAAUCGUGCUGGUCUCAAUGACCGACAGGUUUUAUUAUGCUGCCCAGGCUGGUCUCGAACUCCUGAGCUCAAGCAAUCCACCUGCCUCAGCCUCCCAAAGUGCUGGGAUUAUAAGCGUGAGCCACUACACCCGGCCCCAACAGUGCAUUCUUCGAAGGGCAACUGUGCACAUUGAAGGCCGUCCUGCGUCUGAGGUACUCGGCGAAUGUGGCUGACAGCACGCCCUGAGGAGGGCGAGGAGUGGCAUGGAUGCCUGGCAAGAUAAGGAAGCCAAGGUUCACGGAGUCCAAGUCACUUGUUCAAGGCGGCCUGGUGGGACUGGGACUCAAGCUACCUUCCUGAACCAGCAACCUGUUGUCAAUGAUGACACCAAUGAAGAGGUUGAGGGUGAAGAAGGAGCCGAAGAUGAUGAAGAUGACAAAGUAGAGAUUCCCUCCCGAGGGCGUGUUUCUGUCUGGUGGGAAGAGCAGCUCUGGCACCUGUCCCAGUACGUGUAGGAGCUUGGCGCCACCUCAGUGAUGUCAUCAACUAACUGGGGAUGACUGAAUAGGAAGGAUGGUACCUGACUCCUUCAAGAGGCCUGUGAGCGCAUCUAAGAGGCUAAGAAAAUCCUCCAUUCCUGGUCAGGUGUGGCAGCUCACGCCUGUAAUCCCAGCACUUUGGGAGGCCAAGGUGGGAGGAUUGCUUGAGCCCAGGAGUUCAAGACCAGCCUGGGCAACAUAGCAAGACCUCAUCUUAAAAAUAAGUACAUAAAAUAUAUGAAGUAAGAAACUCCUCCACUCCUAUUGGCAGGGAUGGUAAGUAGCCCUCCUGCCUGCUGUCCUCCCACAAGGCCUCCUUCCCCUAGGAGAAAGGAAGGCCUCCCAGUCCCUAACCCCUCCCUGGGCAGCUGUGUCUGAGAAAGGCAGUGCUGAUGGAGGGUCUGAGUCUGGGGGUGGCCUCGGGCAUCUCCUGCCCUUCAGGGCCUGGGCUUCCUGAGGUCCCCGCCACAUUGACAGCCUCUGGAUGUAGCUACGGGGCCGGCGUGGGGGGACUCACAUCCACGAUGAGGAAGUCGAGCCAGCACCAGGCGUUGGUGAAGUACACCUUAAAGCCGUAGGCCACCCAUUUGAGCAGCAUCUCCAUGAUGAAGAUGUAGGUGAAGACCUUGUCAGCAUAUUCAAGGAUGGUGCGGAUGACUCGCCGCUGCUCGAUGUAGAUGUCCUCGAAGGCCUAGGGGCACCAGCACCACGAGGGUAGCUGGGGUCCAGCAGGCUGGGGCGGCAGCCAGGUCCCCUGCCCUGCUCGAUGCUGCUGGUUCCCAGGGGUCUGCCGUGGGGGCCCAGCCCAGGGGACAGACUGUCCGCAUCUCCUGGACUCCCACCACCCAUCGUGGGGAUAAGCACAUUUCCUAGUGGGGAGAAUCCCUCAGCCCUCCUUCCCCAAGCCCAACAACAGCAAAUUGCAAUCAUCUGCUGGGCAGGUCCACAGUGACACAUCUUCGGUCCUGCGCCCCUCGUUCCCAGGGUUCUCCUGCCUCCUCAUCAGCA